rnacentral:rRNA from 1 species
CAGUCGCCACGGUAAUACGGAGGGUGCAAGCGUUAAUCGGAAUUACUGGGCGUAAAGCGCACGCAGGCGGUUUGUUAAGUCAGAUGUGAAAUCCCCGAGCUUAACUUGGGAACUGCAUUUGAAACUGGCAAGCUAGAGUCUUGUAGAGGGGGGUAGAAUUCCAGGUGUAGCGGUGAAAUGCGUAGAGAUCUGGAGGAAUACCGGUGGCGAAGGCGGCCCCCUGGACAAAGACUGACGCUCAGGUGCGAAAGCGUGGGGAGCAAACAGGAUUAGAUACCCGGGUAGUCCCUGUCUUAUACAC